rnacentral:pre_miRNA from 7 species
UGCUAUGAAGCCUGAGGGGAAUUGUAAGACCCCCUUUCGGGGACCCCCACUCUAGUCUCGGGAGAGAGAGAGUGCACCCAAAGGAACACGAGAAUCC